rnacentral:sRNA from 1 species
CCAGGAGAUCCUGAACUACAUCAGCAGGAAAGAGUUUGAGCCCCUCCUCAGGGUGGACCAGCUCAACCUGGAGCGGGAGAAGCACAAGGUCUUCCUUCGAUUCAGUGAGGAGGAGAUCUCCUUCCCACCCACCUACCGCUAUGAGCGGGGUUCCCGGGACACAUAUGCCUGGCACAAGCAGAAGCCAACUGGGGUCCGGACCAAUGUGCCCUCAUGGUGUGACCGGAUUCUGUGGAAAUCCUACCCUGAAACUCACAUCAUCUGCAAUUCUUAUGGUCAGAGCCUCCCGGACAGAGUGAUGGGAGAUCUGGGGUGGUCACCAUCUGGACUCUGCCCUAACCUUGGGAGGUGGGAGCCGAGGGUGGGAAUAUUCCCCCUGAGUCCCCAUUCCUAUCCCCUCUCCCCAGGUUGCACUGAUGACAUCGUCACCAGCGACCAUUCCCCCGUGUUUGGGACAUUUGAGGUUGGAGUUACCUCCCAGUUCAUCUCCAAGAAAGGGCUCUCGAAGACUUCAGACCAGGCCUACAUUGAGUUUGAGAGCAUCGAGGCCAUUGUGAAGACAGCCAGCCGCACCAAGUUCUUCAUCGAGUUCUACUCUACCUGCCUGGAGGAAUACAAGAAGAGCUUUGAGAAUGAUGCCCAGAGCAGUGACAACAUCAACUUCCUCAAAGUGCAGUGGUCUUCACGCCAGCUGCCCACGCUCAAACCAAUUCUGGCUGAUAUCGAGUACCUGCAGGACCAGCACCUCCUGCUCACAGUCAAGUCCAUGGAUGGCUAUGAAUCCUAUGGGGAGUGUGUGGUUGCACUCAAAUCCAUGAUCGGCAGCACGGCCCAACAGUUCCUGACCUUCCUAUCCCACCGUGGCGAGGAGACAGGCAAUAUCAGAGGCUCCAUGAAGGUGCGGGUGCCCACGGAGCGCCUGGGCACCCGUGAGCGGCUCUACGAGUGGAUCAGCAUUGAUAAGGAUGAGGCAGGAGCAAAGAGCAAAGCCCCCUCUGUGUCCCGAGGGAGCCAGGAGCCCAGGUCAGGGAGCCGCAAGCCAGCCUUCACAGAGGCCUCCUGCCCGCUCUCCAGGUUAUUUGAAGAACCAGAGAAACCGCCACCAACGGGGAGGCCCCCAGCCC